GGCCACGUAGAAAAGUGGUAAUUCGUUCCUCUGCAAAAGGAAUAUGCGGGAGUUCGAUUCUCCCCGUGGCCUCAA
rnacentral:tRNA from 1 species